AGAGCACGGAAAGAGAUGGCAGUGUGGUGUGCAGCAUUGAUGACAUUUGAUCAAAGACCGAAUGAAGAGAGAAUAAGCCAUGGUCAAUCCAGGAAGAGCGCUCCAGGAGAAGAAACAGCAAAUGCAGAGACAGAGCUUGAUCCUUGCCAGCCCUCAGCUGCCUUAUCCAUACCAGAAUUGGGAAGCCCCAGUCCUGCUUUCCUCGGCAGGAAGAUUGACGUACUGUAAUGGAUGGAUUCCGAAGAUCCCGUCCAUCUGGAAGACCCUGAUCACGGCUAGCGAGUGGACUAUUAGCCUCAUGAGGACAGGGACUUUGGUCUGUCUGCUUAUAAACAGCUCACAGCUGCUCUUCUCUUCCCACUGGUGACCUCCUCUGGGAGACAAGGAUUCUCCAGGGAGCCAGACCUGAGAAUGAUUAGAGUUAUAAAGCAAGCCCAAGCUUGCAAAAAACUCCAACAGUCCGGGGCUAGGGGAGAGUGAAAACUCCUAUGAGUCUUCAGUAAGCCAAACUCAGAAGAAGCUGGGCAGCAGAAGCUGAGUCCAAGCUUGCAGAAGUCAAGAAAUCAUGUAAACAAGAAAUGAUCGUAGCUAUGAACAACAGGAAAUUAAUAAAAUAAACAGUGAUGACUCUUUAAA